GGCUCAGGACGAACGCUGGCGGCGUGCUUAACACAUGCAAGUUGAACGGUAUGACAUGGAAGCUUGCUGAAGUGUCAUAUAGUAGCGACGGGUGAGUAAUGCAUGAGAAGCUGCCAUUGGGAGGGGACAACAGUUGGAAACGGCUGCUAAUACCCCGUAUGCCGGAGGGUGAAAAGGGGAGUAAUCCGCCCGAUGAGGUGCUCAUGUCCUAUCAGCUGGUUGGUGGGGUAACGGCCUACCAAGGCGACGACGGGUAGCCGGCCUGAGAGGGUGAACGGCCACACUGGAACUGAGAUACGGUCCAGACUCCUACGGGAGGCAGCAGUGGGGAAUAUUGGGCAAUGGGGGCAACCCUGACCCAGCGACGCCGCGUGGGGGAAGACGGCCUUCGGGUUGUAAACCUCUUUUGUACGGGAAGAAGGAAGUGACGGUACUGUACGAAUAAGUCCCGGCUAACUACGUGCCAGCAGCCGC
rnacentral:rRNA from 1 species